rnacentral:rRNA from 1 species
AUUGAACGCUGGCGGCAGGCCUAACACAUGCAAGUCGAGCGGAUGAAGGGAGCUUGCUCCUGGAUUCAGCGGCGGACGGGUGAGUAAUGCCUAGGAAUCUGCCUGGUAGUGGGGGAUAACGUCCGGAAACGGGCGCUAAUACCGCAUACGUCCUGAGGGAGAAAGUGGGGGAUCUUCGGACCUCACGCCAUCAGAUGAGCCUAGGUCGGAUUAGCUAGUUGGUGGGGUAAAGGCCUACCAAGGCGACGAUCCGUAACUGGUCUGAGAGGAUGAUCAGUCACACUGGAACUGAGACACGGUCCAGACUCCUACGGGAGGCAGCAGUGGGGAAUAUUGGACAAUAGGCGAAAGCCUGAUCCAGCCAUGCCGCGUGUGUGAAGAAGGUCUUCGGAUUGUAAAGCACUUUAAGUUGGGAGGAAGGGCAGUAAGUUAAUACCUUGCUGUUUUGACGUUACCAACAGAAUAAGCACCGGCUAACUUCGUG